UCCAAACCAGGUCGCAGAGAAGGUGGCCUCCAGGAUUGCCGAAGGCUUCAGCGACACGGCUCUCAUCAUGGUGGACAACACCAAGUUUACGAUGGACUGCGGAGCACCCACGAUCCACGUGUACGAGCACCACGAGAGCAGAUGGCGCUGCCGGGACCCACACCACGAUUACUGCGAAGACUGGCCGGAGGCGCAGAGGAUUUCGGCGUCGCUGCUGGACAGCCGCUCCUACGAGACGCUCGUGGACUUCGACAACCACCUGGACGACAUCCGCAACGACUGGACAAACCCCGAGAUCAACAAAGCCGUCCUGCACCUGUGCUAGGCAGGGCCGUGCGCCGAGCGAGAAGAAGGCCCACUUGUCCAUGUGACGACAGACGUGGGUCGCUGGUGGUGGCAGCUUCGACCGGAGCACGGUGCAGGCUUCCCUGGCAGCCGGAACCUGGCGGAGCUGCGGAGCCCAGAAAGGAGCCCCGGAGCCAUGCUGCGCGUGGGCUUGGAGGCAGGAUCCCGGAGCAAGCCUGGGACAGCCUCCUUGUGCUGCCCCUCGGGGAAGACCUAAAGGAGCAACAUGAAGCCUGGAGACAUCUCCGUCAGGUGUGGGAGCCAGGGGGCGUCCCGGAGCAGCGCUGGCCGCUGACAGUGCGGUUCUCAGCUUUCCACACCGACCUUCUGUGUUUUGCGCCUGGAAGACGUUUGAUUGUCUCCAAAACCUCUCCUCCUCACGGCACAUGUGUUUCACCAGCUCGCUGGCCUCCGGGCAGAGGGAAGCAAGAAAACUCGCCGUGGGUGGCCACGGGCGGCCGACUCCACACCCUGCCUUCACCAUUGCAGAGCCAGGAGCUCAGUGUCAGUCGACUUCCGCUCCCGGCCGACCUCAGCGCGUCUUAGCGUCGGACGCAGGAGCUCGGUGGAAGCCGGUGGGAGAGGCCAGGGCUGCGCUGCCAGCCCCAGGCGUGGCCAGGGAGCACCUGAGCGCUGUGAGGCGCCUGGAGGGCCCUGUCGCUCUGGAAACACACGCAACGUCCUGGAGCAGGAGCCGGCCCUGCCGUGCUGCGGCCUCUGGGGGGGACCGGCCCUCGCAGGCUUCUGCACAGCCGCCGUUGGAGAAGUGACCAGAGCCCGAGGUCUAGCCCAGCUUUGCAGUGGCCGGGCGUCUCGGCUCUGCUGUGCCAAGGAGGCGUCUGCUUGCACUUCGCUACAGGAAACCUCUGCCUCCGGUUUGUUUUUUUAAGAUUGAUCCGUUUGAAAGGCAGAGUGACACAGGGAGGGAAGAGACAGGCCGCCCACGUGCUUGUUCCUGCCCCCAGCACUGGCAGUGGCCAGGGCUGGCGCCGCGUCUGGUCUCCCCCAAGGGUGGCGGGGACCCGGACACUUGGGCUGUCACCUGCUGUCUCCCAGGCGCGUUAGCAGGGAGCUGGACUGGAAGCAGAGGCGCCGGGAUUCAGCCGGCGCUCGGAUGCAGGACGCAGGACGCAGGCAGUCCGGGCGGCAGCCUGACCCGCAGUCCACAGCGCCCGUUCCUGAGUCAGCAUGAAACAGUGUGCGUACUCAGCACCGGCUGACCAGACUGCGGACCCCGCCAGUCACCUGUGAGAGCUGCAUCUCGGGACGCUCGUGACGCGGUACUCAGCACCCGGGGAGGGCCCAGGAGCCGCUCCGUGCGCUUCCUUGACCCCAGGAGCCUGGAAUUCCGCCAGAGCCAAGAAACGGGCGGAGAGGCAGAGACAGGGACGCGCUGUCCGCUGAUGUCACUCCCCAGAUGGCCUGCAGGAGCUGGGUCUUGCCGAAGCCAGCCAGGAGCCGGCGCCGCGAGCUGGGUCUCGGAUUGAGCUGGCAAGGGCCAGACACGUGUGCCGUCACCUGCUGCCUCCCCAGCUGUGCGUUAGCAGGGAGCUGGAAUUGGACGGAACCAGGACUCCAACCUCGGAGCUCGGCGUGAGGGACCAGGCGCACCAGUGCCCACGGCUCUCUGCUCACCUGAACUGCGUCUCGCUGCUUCCUUGCCCGCCGUGUUCUUGCUACCAUCCCGAGGGCUCGCAGGCGCUCUAAACCCCUGUCAAAUAGCACCGCUGUUUUGGGGCAGCGCGGCGUCUGGGAACAGGAGGACUCCAUCUCCCCCUCCUCCCCAAACGCAACCGCCGACACCCAGGCCGUCGGCACUUUGAUUUUCAGUGAGCACUUACCUGUUAGGGAAGCAGGACUACCCGCGAAGUUCUGUCGGGCGGGGGAGCCUGGAAGACGGGCCCUGCGGGUGCAGCGCGCGCCCCCGGGCCCCGGGCCCCUCCAGACCCUGUCCUCUGCACCCACUCGCCACUGGCAGAGCACUGGGGGCUUCUCCGAGCUGGACGCGUUUAGAAAGGAUCCGGCUGCUUCCGCAGCACCUCGUCCCUGCGCGCGGGACAACUCGGGGGCGGGGGGAGUGCGCACCCUUGUCUGCCGUGAGUUCUGUGGCCGAGGACACGUCACCUCUCGCGGCCGCUGGAAACGAAGGUGACGACCCCUGCUGGCAGUGGGUCCGGUGGCACAUGAUAAACCAGGAUCUUGGACCGUGAGGCGGGGCCCGUGAAGUUGUAGUCUCAUUCGUCCAAAGCUGAAAACAGCCCUGGCGGCGUGGCGCAGAGGUGUGCCUCCACCCGUGACGCUGGCGGCCCGCGAGCACCGGUGUGAGUCCAGGCCGCUCCACCUCUGAGCCAGCGCCCCGCUAGUGUGCCCGGGAAAGCAGCGGGAGACGGCCUGAGUGCUUGGGCCCCUGCACCCGGGUGGGAGACCCCGUUGGAGUUUCUGGCUUUGGCUUCCACCUGGCCCAGCCCUGACUGUUUUGGCCAUUUGGGGAGUGAACCAGUGGAUGAGACUGUCUCUCUCUCUGCCCCUGCCACUCAGCCUUUCAAAAAAUAAUCUUAAAAAAAACGGGAGGCAUAUCAGGCUCAGGUUUCGGCCUGGCGACGAAAACACCGUUUCAAACACCUUCUGCCUCCUGAGUCAGUGCUUGGGCCCAGCACCCGCUCCGCCUCCAGUUCCGGCCGCCGUGUGCCCCACACUGGGGCAGUGCCUGCUGGCUCAGUGACCAGGUCCCAGCCACCCACGGGGCAGACCUGGGCGUGGGGACUGGGCUGCGUUCCCAGCUCCUGGCUUUGGCCCGGCCCAGCCCUGGCUCUUGCAAACAUUUGGGGAGUGAAUCAGCCAACCAGAGCGCUCUCCAUCUCACUGUUUCUCAAAAAAUAGUGUUUUUUUUAAAAAAACAAAAAACAAAACAAAACAAAAAAAAAAAAAAAAAAACAAAGAUCAGGGCUAAUGCUGCGGCGCAGCAGGUUAAAGCCCCAGCCUACAGCGCCGGCAUCACACAUGGGUGCCAGCUCGAGUCCCGGCUGCUCCACCUCUGAUCCAGCUCUCUGCUGUGGCCUGGGAAAGCAGUGGAAGGUGGCCCAGGUCCUUGGGCCCCUGCACCCACGUGGGAGACCGGGGGAAGCUCCUGGCUCCUGGCUUUGGAUCAGCUCAGCUCUGGCCAUUGCAGUCAUCUGGGGAGUGAACCAGCAGAUGGAAGACCUCUCUCUACCUCUCUCUGUAACUCUGUCCUUCAAAUAAACAUAAAUCUUUAAAAAAAAUAACCUCGCA
rnacentral:lncRNA from 1 species